CUAGGCAAUUCUUCUCGCAUGCAAGUUUAGUGGAGAAGAUCGGUGGCAUUGAAUGCAUUUGUUAAUGCCGAAUUUCCGUGUUAACCUCAACUAUUGUUCUGCUAUAACAACGAUAUUAUAAACAAUAUUUUGUCGGUAAUAAGUCGAAAGCGGAUCAGUUAUGUUGGUAUGGCAACGCGCAAUACCUUUAGAUCAUCGAAGCUGUGGGUACUGUGAGCUGGGCAAUGAGGCUUAGCUCACUAUAUUCGUAAAUUAGCUCUACUUCAGCCAACGUCGUAGACAAGAUGGCGUAAAUAAUUCACGGUCCCCUCAACACGAAGUAAGUUGCCGACCCUGUUUCACUCACUUGUGCGAAUUGAGAACGAUCGCCGGUUAUACCCACGGAGCACCAUCGCACAAUUCGCGCUAGCGAAUUCGGGCUGAGCGGUAAUUUUCAUCUAAAAAAGGCUACAGCUUAAGUAUGAAAAGUAGCGCAUUUGGUAACGAGAAUCUUCGAAAGCAUCUAUGAGCUAAAAGGCGCAAAUCGUUGUAGACUGCUGAUUCCAAUGACGAAAUCAAUCGGCCCACUCGGAGUUGCAGUGUAGAUGCAGAAGACAUUUGAUAUGAGAAAAAAGAGAAAUCUACUUCGCGGGACCCAGAGAAUGCCCGUACUCGAGAUUACACAAAUAUCUAGUGCGGUCAGCAAUUCUAGCAUUAGCUGAGAGAUAUGAAAAUCAAGAAAGGAAAGCACCUGUGGGAUAGAAGUGGAAGGUUGACAGAAAUAAAAUCAAAAAGGGUCGUCACUAUAAGAGAGUGGUGUCGGCAAUAAGGAAUUAUACUGAGGGGCGAACCUGAAUCACUGGUCAGAAGCCUUAUCCCAGACAUAAGGAAGUGGCUGAACGGUCCGUGCAAAAGAAAUAAAUUAUUUGCAACAAAAUGCACCUGGUCUACAAGUGAAAUUUUAUGACAAUGACGACUGCAUCUACAUAGCAAUUAAAUAAAAGCAUCUAUUAAUACUCUGUUGUAAUCAAAACAAAAGCAAACAAAAAAUCUUGCCUUCGACUCAUUGAAAGCAAUACUCUUUUCAGCGGGCAAACAACUAUGUUAGCUUGUGUUUUCGGAAUCAGUUAGGAGUUACGGAAUAAUAUCACCCAAUAAAGGCUCUAAGGUCACUGGAUUUAUUGGUAAUUUUGAGCACCAAGGCAAGGUUAUUACACUUUUUUUGAUGAAGUCACGCACAUCACCCUAAAGUGUGCUGUAAAAGAUACUUACCGUCGUGUUGAACAGAAAAUCAUACCUCGUUGAUUGUCCCCUCGAGUUUUACCCAUCUAAUACUGAAUGGCAAAUCGGUGGAGCGUAAGGAUCUUUUCUAACUGCUCGAACUGCCAAGCUAUCCGCAAAGGUAUACAGAUUCGCGUUGAUGCUUCUGUCCGCUUCGAUGACUCAAGUGCUGUUGUAAUUAUGGGAAGCAACGGAGAAACACAUAUGCGGUCCCAAACGACUGAAAGAUGGAUUGAUUCAGUACGGUGUCUCUUUGAAGAAUAUGGCCAUCACCAUAGUACGAACUAAGCAGAGUCGAUAUUAUGUAAAGCGAUGCUAGUAAAGAGACGUAUGCCAAUAACCUGCUGUCAGCUGAAAUACUCAGCAAAGUUAGACAGCGUAUGGUUUAGUGAGUCGGCAAGAUCGCUUUCUAGGAAUUGCUCUGGGUCUGGAUAGGUUCUAGCAAAGGCUGAAAGCAAUCAAAUAGAUGUCAGUCAACGAGGAACUCGACGGCGGAAGUCAUGUCUGUUUGUUGUCGCAGUUAAUAUACACUAUUUGCUAGAUUUUAACUUUCAGUGAAUGAGGGAGAAGCAGUAAAGUAUGCGGUAAAUGCUAAGUGCUGCGGUGCGAGAUUGCAGGAACAUAUGUUAUAUAUAGGAGGAGACUUAAAGCUGUACCUAUCAAAAAGAAAAAAAAAACGUUCAAAAUAUCAGGGUUGGUCUUUAGACCGUGCAAGAGGUAUUGUGAGAUUCUCGAAUUUUUAGCCACUAAAAAAUUGCAUCACUUUCGAAGGUUAGGGGUGACAUGCGUGCCGAAAAAUGUCACCCUAUGAACGAUUGUGUUAGAUUGCAAAAAAUUACAAAAAAUAAAGUGAACAGAACAAUCAGCCAUAGAUUUUGCUUAUUAUAUUUCUUUAUCUUAUGGCCAGUUACUUUGUUUGUAUGUAUCUACAAAUGUAUAUACUACUAUUGGUGAUAGUGGUGACCAGCGAUUUCACGUAUUGUUUCCAGAACUUACAUGUUUAGCCGUUUUGUCCUCGCUGCCCACGAAAUAGAAUUAUUCGUUUGAUUUCCGUCUUUCAAAUUAACCAUAAUCGUACUACAAAACAAUUUUCUAGUCCACAACAGUAUGUGAACAAUAUGCUUCCACUUGUAACAUCGGUAAUAGUUUCUACAAUGGCCAAUGAGACCUUUUUUCUAUCUUAGAACUGUUUCAAUAAAGCAAUAUGCCUGUGACCUCGAAACCUCCAACGCUGUUCAGGUGUUCUCUCCAGCUAUUUUUGUGAGUUUUCGUUUCAAAGCUUCAGAAAGUUCGAGGGCCCCUUGCACGGGCUUCUACGAUAAGUCAUAGUUGUUUAACACGCUGAGAAAAGAGAAAUAUCACUGACUUCGUAAGGACUUUAAUAUUGGUUUACUCUCAGUGCAGUACUUCAUCGACUUCCACACACCAACUUAAGGGAAGUUUUUCUUCGACUUGCGAUCGGAUUUAACCAUAUACUUUCUCAAGUCCAGCUAUUGCUACUGGGUUUAAAGUUUUUUUGGUAAGUCCAACCACUCGGAUCGCACUUUGAGAUAAAACCCUUCUCGCGACGACUGAGGUUUUCCGAUCCAGCACGACUCUUACUGGAUUGACCUUCUUCCUCAUCGGUUAGCCCCGGUGAUAUUAAGAUCCUAGAAUGAUGAGUUGUCACCGCCAGUCCGUCCAUACUACGAUUAUCGCCAGCUUCCGCUGUCGCUGCACGGUUUCGUGAGAAAGCAAUGAACUCCGUCCGCAUUCAUUCAGUUAGGUCGAUUUUGAUAAUGAAACCUUGCAACACAUGCCCAUGCCUUAAUGAGUCUUUAUAGAGCAAUGUUAUUUUGUGGAUUUAAAUUAUGUAGUUGGACUGUAUCAUGCGUACAACUGUGAUUGACUAACGCCGGUUCAUGGAUAGUGCGGGUUACUUUGUCUCGGUAGAAAUUUAAGGUCGUAUAUUGCGCUGUUGUUGUCUGAAAGAAAGGCCGCAGGACCGUAAGAGCGAAAAAGGUAGGUCCCAAUGUAGAAAGUCUAGAAAAACAAGUUACCCUAUAGAAAGUUAAUUGGAGACAUAAGGUAUUUCGUGGAGUUAGUACCGUUGCAAUACCAAGGUGAUUCCCAUUUCGCCCGGCUCUGCAUCGAUGAUGUUUCACUCAACUGGUAACGAAGCAUACUUUUCCGCAUAAAAGGUACUUGUUUUACAUAUAUUGUCACUAGAUUACGUAAUCAAAGUAUUCACGAAUUAUUAAUCAUACGAGUUGUUAGUCCGAAUAUACCACUCUUUUCAACUUAUAAACGCUAUCAAAUCACUGGAAGCCUUCGAAAACACAACCAUAUCGUUGCACUACUUCAUGGCGUUAUAUGGCCCUUCCGUAUGCGUAUUUACAUUCGCAGAUCCUCAUGAUAUCACUGGUGUCUUUUAGCCGCCUAUUCUGAGGCAUGGCAAAUCAAAAGAGCGUCCGCUUUGAUCUAUGCCAUCACGAUUAACUAGCUGUCUUAUUACUUGCUCCCUUGAGUACUGCCUUGUCUUACAACCUGAAAGGCUCCUAUUUGUUUUGUAAGGAGAUCUGCUCCUGCCGAGGCAAUGAACGCCGGAAAUAGAGGGUAACAGCCAAUCGCCAUUUCGUUCCUUCGUUACUGCCGCUCAACUCUUAAAUAAGUGAUGUCAUCCCUGUGUUCUUUUCUGGUCGGUUACCGUUAGCGCCGGCUACUUCUUUUUGCCUCCUCGCACGACGUCUGAUGUCAGCGCAGCUAUAGCUGAUGCCCGUCGCUCUGAAACGGUGGACUGUUGAGCUUCACUUCAUUCUUAUUCUGUUUUUUACUACCAGCGCGUCUGUCAUCAGCAUUAAUGACAAUCAUCAGUAUCGUCAUCUGAUUUCUCCUUUCUUAUCUUUUUCG